AGCUCCAAUAGCGUAUAUUAAAGUUGUUGCAGUUAAAAAGCUCGUAGUUGAAUUUCUGUCUUUUUAAUGAACCAUUCUAAUGUUUAAUCAUUAAUGUGUGAAUUGAAGACAUUUAUCUAUUAUAUAAUAGUAAAAUAUUAUUAUAAUAGAUCCUUUACUUUGAGAAAAUUAUAGUGUUUCAAGCAAGCGUUUGCUUUGAGUACUACAGCAUGGAAUAAUACAAUAGGACUUUAGACCUAUUUGUUGGUUUCUAGGUUUGAAGUAAUGUUUAAUAGGGACAGUUGGGGGCAUUCGUAUUCGAUAGUCAGUGGUGAAAUACUUGGAUUUAUCGAAGACGAACUACUGCGAAAGCAUUUGCCAAAGAUGUUUUCA
rnacentral:rRNA from 1 species